AUGUUGCUCUGCAGCCUCGUGGAGGUGGUCAUGGCGUCCGUGUGGCUAGGAUGUGGCAUUGCCAAGAAGGUAACUCAAACCCAACUGGCAGUGUUUGUGCAGGAGAAGGCGGCUGUGACCCUGGACUGCACAUAUGACACUGGAGAUGUAGAUUAUUAUAUAUUCUGGUACAAGCAGUUCAGCAGUGGGGUGAUGAUUUCCCUUAUUCAUCAGUAUUCUUAUAACCAGCAAAAUGCCACAGAAGGUCGCUACUCAUUGAAUUUCCAGAAGACAAGCAAAACUAUUGACCUUGUCAUCUCAGCUUCACAGCUGGAGGACUCUGCAGUGUAUUUCUGUGCCCUGUGGGAGCACACAGUGAGAGGUGUGUGUGGGGAGGUGUUCCAAAACUCCAGGGCUCUGCUGCAUGCAUCCACCUGCCAUGGGGACUGGGCAGGGCAUCGCUGUCACAGACAGGAAAUGGCCAGGGCCGCCCAUCAUAGGUGGAGGGGUGGAGGGUACUCACUCACUCUAGGAAAAUACCUCUCCAGGUUCACAGACCAUAUCCAGGGUUAUCAUUCAUCAAAAUUAUUCUUAUCCCCAAAUCAUUGGCUUAAUGGUGAACAUACUGAAUUUGUGACCAAAGAUCGAAGAGAAAGAUAG